rnacentral:rRNA from 1 species
AGGACGAACGCUGGCGGCGUGCUUAACGCAUGCAAGUCGAGCGGAAAGGCCCUUCGGGGUACUCGAGCGGCGAACGGGUGAGUAACACGUGAGUAAUCUGCCCCUAGCUCUGGGAUAGCUCCGGGAAAACCGGGAUUAAUACCGGAUAUGACCACUUUAGACAUCUGCUGUGGUGGAAAGAAUUUCGGCUAGGGAUGAGCUCGCGGCCUAUCAGCUUGUUGGUGGGUAACGCCUACCAAGGCGACGACGGGUA